UAAUUAAAUCCAACGUGGUUUUAUCAGAAGAAUUUAGCUAUUAUUUUUGAAUAAUUUCAGAAAGAGAAAAUAAUAAUUAAAUCUAACGUGAUUAAAAUGAGCAUUUUCAGAUUAGCCAGGGGCACACAAGUCGCCGAGGACCAGCUGCGCUUGCCGGUUACACGAGUGAUGAGCGCCCGUCAUGACCUGGAGGUGGACAUGUCAGCAAUUUUCAAAGGACAUUUAAAAAUACGCACAUCUUUAGUCUUUAGAGAUUAACAGCGGAUUUGAGUUUUAAACAACUACAUUCUCGCAUGAACAACCGCUAAAACUUAUGGUACAUUGGUUAUGGUAUAUUUCAUGGUACAUUUAGAGCAGUAUUUGAUUAUUGUAUUGGUUCUGUUCAGUGUGAGAUUAAAUCGGAUUGAACCGUCUUUGGAUUGAACUGUUUGCUGGGAGAUGGGGAAACGGGAAUCUUUUUAUUACACGUGUUCAAAAGCUUAUAGUCAUCAACAUGUAAUUAGUGUAUAGUGUAAAUGCGUGUGACUGAGUUAUAGCGAAAUGCUAAUCAAUCGUGUUGGUAAUUACACAAAAAUGCAAUCGGUUUCGGGUGGGAUCCGACUCUUACAAAUCACUUAAGUGAGCUGAUUCCUAGAAACGAACCGAGUCACUCGACUUAAACAACGCCGACUCGCUUCACCAGACAACGCGGAGAUGUCGUUGUCUCAUCCAAACGGAUUUAUCGCACAGCAUUGAGUUAAAGUGACCACAGAAUAAAGUAAGCAAGUGUCAGAGGCAGAGGAGACACAUCAACCAGCAAGUGUGUAACUUAUCAGGAAAACGACUGACUGAAUGGAUGACAGUCU